rnacentral:lncRNA from 1 species
AUACCUCAAUGCUUCCAUAAUUCAAUGACAAUGCCAAUACCUUCUCAAUACAUACAUUCAAAAGUAAAGGAUAUACAAAUUGAUGUGAUAUAUUUUAAACAUCUUAUUGAAUAAGAAAAGAUUCAUCAUUGUUAGGAAGGAUUGUGCUUGUUUUGUGGAGAACUUAAGCACACUACUCAAUAUUGUCUAAAGAAGCAACAAAAUUAUAAAAUGAAGAGUAUAGUUAUCAAAGAAGAUAGUAUGUUGAAAAAUGAGUUUGUCAAGCUAUAAUAAGGACUGUUGUCAUAUUACAUGAAAUCUUGCUUAAGAAUGCACUAGGCACCUAGCUAAAGAAGAUAAAAGGAAUUUGCAACAAUAAGUCCUAAUUACUCUAAUAAAAUUAUAUAUAAAUUACUAUGGAAGCUUAAAAAAUAUAAUUAAGCAUCAAUUAAGUCUAAUUAUUAUUAUUAUUAUUUUAUUUUAUUUAUUUUUGAAAUAAAUUAUAAAAAAAUACAAGAAAAUCCUAAAAAAACCUAAAAAAAUCCUAAAAAAAUUAAAAAGAAUCUUCAAAGAAUUCUAAAAAAAACUUCAAGAAAUUUAAAAGAAUAUUUAAAGAAUCCUAAAAAAAUCCUAAAGAAAUCCUAAAUCAAACCAAAUCCUUAUCCUAACCAAACCCUAACUCUAACCAAAAUCUAAAUCCUAACCCUAAUCAAUCCCAUAUAAUUCCUAUAAUAGAUUUAAAUCUCAAUAAUUAAUGAAUGAAUAGUUGUUUUUAACUCAAAUUUUCUACAUCUCUUCACAAUUAAGUUGACAACAAGUACAAAAAAUUAAAAAAGAUUGAAUAAUCAAAUAGAUGAUAACCUCAAAAAAGUGCUCGGGUGUCAGAUGGCCUCCUUCUCCAACUUUGAUGCCAAUCUCUCAAACCCAAUUAUUCUUGAUUGAACUGUUACUUUGCUUCUAAAAUUUAUAUAAUUAUUAGAAAUAAAAUUGACUACCUUUAUGAAAAAAAUUAUCUCAAUCUAAUUAGUAAAUUGACAGAUAUCUAAGAAAACCUCACUAGUCCUCAAAACCAUGAAUUUUGAAACCAUAAUCUACAAAAAGCUUCAUGCUUUUCAAUCUAACUAUUUAAUCAAAUCCAAAUUCAUAAUACACAUCAAGCAUAAUUAUAUCUACAAAUCUAUAAAAUUUCACAUAUAGAUU